UGGAGGACUGAAGUGGAGAAGGGUUUCGUGUGAACAGUGGUUGAUCACGAGUUAGUCGGUCCUAAGUUCAAGGCGAAAGCCGAAAAUUUCAAGUUUUAAAAAUGUCAAAUGAAAUAAUAAAUAAUAAAACACUUGAAUAAUUUUGAACGAAAGGGAAUACGGUUCCAAUUCCGUAACCUGUUGAGUAUCCGUUUGUUAUUAAAUAUGGGCCUCGUGCUCAUCCUGGCAACAGGAACGACCAUAAAGAAGCCGUCGAGAGGUAUCGGAAGAGUUUUCUUUUCUGUUUUAUAGCCGUACUACCAUGGAAGUCUUUCGCAGAGAGAUAUGGUAGAUGGGCUAGAAGAGCAUGACAUAUACUGUUGUGUCGAUAUUUUCUCCUCGGACCUUGAAAAUUUAUGGUGGGGAUACGCAAACUUCUCAACAGGCCGUACCAAUAUCCGCAGCUGGUCUCCAAGGUGAAGAGUCUCUAGUCGAUAGAAUAAUGUAGGUAAGGGAAGUCGGCAAAUUAGAUCCGUAACUUCGGGAUAAGGAUUGGCUCUGAAGAUUGAGAUAGUCGGGCUUGAUUGGGAAACAAUAACAUGGUUUAUGUGCUCGUUCUGGGUAAAUAGAGUUUCUAUCAUUUAUGAUAGUUAUUUGUUCCCCGGAUAGUUAGUUACGUAGCCAAUUGUGGAACUUUCUUGCUAAAAUUUUUAAGAAUACUAAUUUUUAAUUAGUUCUUUUAAAUUAUAACGAUUAUCAAUUAACAAUCAAUUCAGAACUGGCACGGACUUGGGGAAUCCGACUGUCUAAUUAAAACAAAGCAUUGUGAUGGCCCUAGCGGGUGUUGACACAAUGUGAUUUCUGCCCAGUGCUCUGAAUGUCAAAGUGAAGAAAUUCAAGUAAGCGCGGGUCAACGGCGGGAGUAACUAUGACUCUCUUAAGGUCGGAGCAAUUUGCGAAGACCUCGAACUAGGAGACAGUUAAGACAACAAGAGUACGCACAGGUUCAGCGUCGUUGGGAUAAGAAUACUGGGAGAUGCAUUAAAUCCUUGCUUGAUGGAACAGAUGAGUCGGUUAUGCCAAACCAAGAGAUAAUGGAACCCUAUUGGAAACAAGUAAUGACGAAUCCCAGCACAUGCUCUUGCGAUAACACAAGAUUCCGUAUGGAACAUUCGCUUGAGACGGUUUGGUCAGCGAUAACGCCACGCGACCUGAGGGAAAAUAAGUUAAAGUUGUCAAGUGCUCCGGGUCCUGACGGUAUCACUCCAAGAACAGCCAGGAGUGUACCCUUAGGCAUUAUGCUACGCAUAAUGAACCUGAUUCUCUGGUGCGGCAAAAUACCAUUCUCUACCCGACUGGCCAGAACUAUCUUCAUUCCGAAGACUGUGACGGCAAAUCGACCGCAAGACUUUCGUCCAAUAACAGUCCCCUCGGUUUUGGUCAGGCAAUUAAACGCUGUUCUGGCUUCUCGAUUGGCUUCUAAAGUCAACUGGGAUCCAAGGCAGCGCGGUUUCCUACCUACCGAUGGGUGUGCUGAUAAUGCGACGUUGGUUGAUCUCAUUUUGCGGGAGCACCAUAAACGGUGGAAGUCAUGUUACCUUGCGACGGUGGAUGUCAGCAAGGCUUUUGACUCAGUAUCACACCAGGCCAUUAUCAAGACUUUACAGGCCUAUGGUGCUCCAACAAACUUUGUCAGCUUCAUAGAAGAACAGUAUAAGGGCGGCGGAACCUCCCUCAAUGGGGCAGGAUGGAGUUCAGAGGUGUUUAUACCCGCGCGGGGCGUUAAGCAAGGUGACCCUCUGUCUCCACUAUUAUUUAAUCUUAUCAUUGAUAGAUUACUUAGGUCCUACCCCAGAGAGAUUGGUGCCAAAGUCGGAAAUACCAUGACAAGCGCGGCAGCGUUCGCGGAUGAUCUGGUGCUAUUU
rnacentral:ncRNA from 1 species